GUGACUUUUGGUACACACCCCCCCUCCCAUACACACACAAGGUAGCCGUGUCUAAAAAAAGGUGAAGUGGGCGUGCAGCAGACUCCUGUCCUUGAGAGAGGUGAGCGCGAACCGGAAGUUAAGUGAGCAACAAAUCUGUCUGAUUAUAGCAAGAUUAACAAGCAAGACCCAGCAAAUGACCUCUGGAGCUCAGCGUGAGAAAGCAUCAGCUUCUAUGGCACCUCAAGGGAGAUUGGAGGAACCUGAGAGGACUGUGUCAGCAGAACCAGGAUGAGAUUUAGCAUCUGGUCCAGCAGACUGAGUGCGUACGUCUGGACUGAUGUAAACUGAAGAAUAAGCCAGUACAACACUUCAGCCUUGAGAUGCAACACAGGCCUCCCCGUCACAGUCUUAAUCCUCUUACUGAUUUACCGCAGUGGACAGUAAACACGGUUUCCACAGACUGGCCUAAGUACCACAUCACAACAAGGGGCUCGUAAAAAUUCUGGAAAAAUGUAUUUUCAAAUUGUGAUAAAAGAUCCAUG